rnacentral:tRNA from 1 species
GGCUGUAGCUCAGUGGUAAAGCACUUGCCUUGCAUGUGUGAGGCACUGGGUUCGAUCCUCAGCACCA